rnacentral:tRNA from 1 species
GGAGAGUUGUCCGAGUGGCUUAAGGAGUCGGUCUCGAAAACCGGUGAACAGCAAUGUUCCGUGGGUUCGAAUCCCAUGCUCUCCG